GACGAACGCUGGCGGCGUGCUUAACACAUGCAAGUCGAACGGAAAGGCCCGCUUGCGGGUACUCGAGUGGCGAACGGGUGAGUAACACGUGGGCAACCUGCCCUCAGCUUCGGGAUAACACUUGGAAACAGGUGCUAAUACCGGAUAAUAACCUUUCAUCGCAUGGUGGAUGGUUCAAAGUUUUUCGGCUGAGGAUGGGCCCGCGGCCUAUCAGCUUGUUGGUGGGGUAAUGGCCUACCAAGGCGACGACGGGUAGCCGGCCUGAGAGGGCGACCGGCCACACUGGGACUGAGACACGGCCCAGACUCCUACGGGAGGCAGCAGUGGGGAAUAUUGCGCAAUGGGCGGAAGCCUGACGCAGCGACGCCGCGUGAGGGAUGACGGCCUUCGGGUUGUAAACCUCUUUCAGCUCUGACGAAGCGCAAGUGACGGUAGGAGCAGAAGAAGCACCGGCCAACUACGUGCCAGCCGCCGCCGUAAAAC
rnacentral:rRNA from 1 species